GAUGAACGCUAGCGGCAGGCCUAAUACAUGCAAGUCGGACGGGAUUUGGGAGCUUGCUCCCAAUGAGAGUGGCGCACGGGUGCGUAACACGUAUGUAACCUACCUUAGUCAGGGGGAUAGCCUCUCGAAAGAGAGAUUAAGACCGCAUAAAAUCACAGUAUAGCAUUAUACAAUGAUCAAAUAUUUAUAGGACUAAGAUGGGCAUGCGGAACAUUAGCUAGUUGGUGUGGUAACGGCUCACCAAGGCGACGAUCCGUAGCUGGUCUGAGAGGAUGACCAGCAUCACUGGGACUGAGACACGGCCCAGACUCCUACGGGAGCAGCAGUGGGGAAUAUUGGACAAU
rnacentral:rRNA from 1 species